rnacentral:rRNA from 1 species
UAAGGAAUAUUGGUCAAUGGACGCAAGUCUGAACCAGCCAUGCCGCGUGGAGGAUGAAGGCCCUCUGGGUUGUAAACUUCUUUUAUCUGGGACGAAAAAGGGACUUUCUAGUUCAACUGACGGUACCAGAGGAAUAAGCACCGGCUAACUCCGUGCCAGCAGCCGCGGUAAUACGGAGGGUGCAAGCGUUAUCCGGAUUCACUGGGUUUAAAGGGUGCGUAGGUGGGCAGGUAAGUCAGUGGUGAAAUCUUUGGGCUUAACCCGAAAACUGCCAUUGAUACUAUUUGUCUUGAAUAUUGUGGAGGUCAGCGGAAUAUGUCAUGUAGCGGUGAAAUGCUUAGAUAUGACAUAGAACACCAAUUGCGAAGGCAGCUGGCUACACAUAUAUUGACACUGAUGCACGAAAGCGUGGGGAUCAAACAG